CCGCCGCCGGGCUCCCUGCGGGGCAGGGCAGGGCGGCAGCACCGCCCCCCUCCGAGCCUGGCCCAGGGCGAGCGGGCGUCGUUUCGGAAGAGGAAAGACGCCCUCAGGCUCCAGGUGGUCAUGACGCUCCCGACUCUUAACGGUAUCGCCGUUACUACGGUGCCGGUUAACCCCCGAGGCUCCCUCGCGGCUUCAAAAAGCGCGUUCCCGGCUCGUGCUGGUCCGCAGCGUCCCAGCAGGUUAUUUUCGCUAGUUCUGGAGGAGGGAAGAUGGUGAGGGGGAGUGAAACCUACUGUCAAUAUUUUUCCUCUGAAGGUUUGUGACAUACUUACCAUUAACUGUCUUCAAACAUUCUCAAUUUUGAAAUAAUUGCUCUACUGUGCACAGUGUGCUGAAAGGAAUAUUGUUAUACCUUUAGGUGGAUUUGAUCAAUGAUUAUGAAACUCAGAAGCAUGGUUUUUGUACCUUGUGAUGGAUUCAAACUUGCUGUUCUCUAAAUUUCCUUGCCCUAGAAUCUACUGUAAUAUUGGACUUCCGCUGCCAAAUUCUCUUCUGGACUCUCAUCAGAAUCAGAAAGGUCCUAUUAAAAUGCAAUUGUUUGUACUUAGUGUUUGAUGUUACAGAAGGAUUUAUUAGCGCAGCAACUGAAUUGAAACCUAAAAUAGGAAUUUUGGUCAUAUGUGGAAAUGAGCCUGUAAGUUUUAUCUUAGUUCCUAUUCAUUUUUAAGAGGCCCCCAUGGGGGAGGAAGAAAGCAGUUUUCUCAACCUGUGCAGUGGACAUUGAGUUCUACAGAUUCUGAAUGGGUGGGAUGUGCUCC
rnacentral:lncRNA from 1 species